rnacentral:rRNA from 1 species
GACGAACGCUGGCGGCGUGCCUAACACAUGCAAGUCGAACGGACUUACUUAUUCGGAAGUUUUCGGACGGGAGAGAAGUAAGUUAGUGGCGAACGGGUGAGUAACGCGUGGGUAACCUGUCUGUAUGACCGGAAUAACAGCCGGAAACGGCUGCUAAUGGCGGAUAAACUUAUUUUUCGGCAUCGAGAGAUAAGCAAAGGCGGCCUCUCCCUGGAAGCUGCCGCAUAAAGGUGGACCCGCGUCUGAUUAGCUGGUUGGUGGGGUAACGGCCUACCAAGGCGACGAUCAGUAGCCGGCCUGAGAGGGUGAACGGCCACACUGGGACUGAGACACGGCCCAGACUCCUACGGGAGGCAGCAGUGGGGAAUUUUCCGCAAUGGGCGAAAGCCUGACGGAGCAACGCCGCGUGUACGAGGAAGGCCUUCUGGUUGUAAAGUACUGUUGUUUGGGAAGAAGAUCGUCUAUGUAAAUAAUGUAGACGAGUGACGGUACCAAACGAGGAAGCCCCGGCUAACUACGUGCCAGCAGCCGCGGUAAUACGUAGGGGGCGAGCGUUGUCCGGAAUUAUUGGGCGUAAAGGGCGCGUAGGCGGUUUUUUAAGUCUGAUGUGAAAGUGCGGGGCUUAACCCCGUAGAGCAUUGGAAACUGGGAGACUUGAGAGCGGGAGAGGAAAGUGGAAUUCCUAGUGUAGCGGUGAAAUGCGCAGAUAUUAGGAGGAACACCAGUGGCGAAGGCGACUUUCUGGACCGAAUCUGACGCUGAGGCGCGAAAGCGUGGGGAGCGAACAGGAUUAGAUACCCUGGUAGUCCACGCCGUAAACGAUGAGUGCUAGGUGUAGAGGGUAUCGACCCCUUCUGUGCCGCAGUUAACACAAUAAGCACUCCGCCUGGGGAGUACGGCCGCAAGGUUGAAACUCAAAGGAAUUGACGGGGC